UAUUCAUUUUGAUUUGAUUUUGCCUGCUUCAUAUAUUCGUCUCGCUUUCGGACAUGCUGUAAUCUGAUAUACUACUUCAUCAUAUUGACUAGUGGUUCCGUACAUCUUGCCUUCUUGGACCGUCAAUGGUGUAUACUUACUGACGAAGAUAACAUCUAGCUAUCGGACAUGCUGUAAUCUGACAUACUACUUCAUCAUACUCAACUAGUGGUUACUUACAUCGUGCCUUCUUGGAGCGUCAAUGGUGUAUACUUCUUGGUGAAAACAACUUAAGCGGUUCCUUAACUAGCUGGGUUAUGAAAUAAUUUCAGUGCAUUCUUAAAUUCUUGUUCAGGUGGAGAUAACCCCUUUUACGGAAACACACGAACUGUACCGAGAGUGUUAACACUACACGUCCGGUAACCGCACUAAACACCAUAUAUUCCUAUUUGAAUCCAAGUAAAAUGAGUAUAUUUUUCGAGACUCUACCUUUAAUCGGAUAUAUAAAUAGUGCGCUAUAAAUAGCCUACAGAACAGAAUUAUGUCAUCACCUGAGUACUAGUCGAAAUAAUUACACGUUCAUACAUGUAUUGUUUUAUAUUUGUGACGCUGACGGGCAAUCUAAAUGGGGAUAUUGCCCGUAUGAAAAAAAUAUCACAAUAGAUCUAUUUCCUAUAGGAUCGCGUCAAAUUAGUUGGACUACUGUUACUUAUUCAAAGGAGACAUGAUAUUGAACAUUUUGAGAAAUAGCACUGUGGUCAGCAUUUGUCUCACGUGAACUGUGGAGACAUUUGGAUACUGUACCUGAAUGUUCAUCACAAAGUGCUGGUGUUUUGAUAUCUACAAGAGCAGACGGCAACAGAAUUGGAGGUUACCCAAAUCUAAAGAUGUUGAGGAGUACAAGAAACAACAAAAAAAGCUAUGAAAAACAAAUGAAAUUAAAACAACGUGAAAUUAUAUUGAAUCAUGGCCCUGGGUUCCAGACCGUUCGACAACAACGAAAAAAAAGAAGAUUUUUUUAGCUCACCAGAGCACAAAGUGCUUAAGGUGAGCUAUUGUGAAUGACCGGCGUCCGUCGGCGUGCGUCUUGCGUAAACAUUUGCCUUGUGAACACUCUAGAGGCCACAUUUAUGACCCAAUCUUUAUGAAUCUUGGUCAGAAUGUUAGUCUUGAUGAUCUCUAGGUCAAGUUUGAAAGUGGGUUAUGUGGGGUCAAAAACUAUGUCAGUAGGUUAGAUCAAAGAAAAUGCUUGUGAACACUCUAGAGACCACAUUUUUGACCCAAUCUUUAUGAAAAUGUGAGUCUUGAUAAUCUCUAGGUCAAGUUUGAAACUGGGUCAUGUGGAGUUAAAACCUAGGUCAGUAGGUUAGAUCAAAUAAAACGCUUGUUAACACUCUAGAGACCACAUUUUUAACCCAAUCUUUACAAAACUUGGUCAGAGUGUUAGUCUUGAUGAUCUCUAGGUCAAGUUUGAAACUGGAUCAUGUGGGAUCAAAAACUAGAUCACCAGGUCAGAUCAAAGGAAAAGCAACAUUUGUGUACCAAUGUUUUUGAAACUUGGUCAGAAUGUUAGUCUUGAUUAUCUUUAGGUCAAGAUUGAAUCUGGGUCAUGUUAGAUCAAAAAAUGGGUCAGUACGUCAGAUCAAUGGAAAACCUUGUGAACACUCUAGAGAUCACAUUUAUGACCCAAUCUUUAUGAAACUUUGUUAGAAUGUUAGUCUUGAUGAUCUCUAGGUCAGUUUCGAAACUGGGUCAUGUUGGAUCAUAAACUAGGUCACCUGGUCAAAUCAGAUGAAAAGUUUGUGAACACUCUAAAGGCCAUAGUUGUGUCCCAAUAUUUAUGAAACAUAGUCAGAAAGUUUGACUUGAUGAUUUCUAGGUCAAAUUUGAAUCUAGGUCAUGUGGGGUCAAAAGCUAUAAACGACAGUGUCUACUUGUAGUAGGGAGCACAAUGCCUAACUUUAUAGUGCUGCCUCACUGGAAUAUCACGCCGUAUACACGUGGCAUGAUACCCCACCCAGUCACAUUAUACUGACACCGGGCUGACCAGUCCUAGCACUAUCCUCUUAAUGCUGAACGCCUAGCGAGAAAGCUUCUAGUACCAUUUUUACGUCUUUGGUAUGACGCGGCUGGGGAUUGAACCCACGACCUCCCGCACUCAAAGUGGACGCUCUACCACUAGGCUACCGAGGCGGUAGGCCACAGUUGUAACUUAAUCUUUAUGAAACUGGGUCGAAUGUUUGUCUUAAUCAUUUCUAGGUCAGGGUCGAAUCUGGGUCAUGUGGGGUCAAAAACUAGGUCACCCGGUCAAAUCAAAGGAAAAGCUUGUGAAAUCUCUAGAGGCCACAGUUGUAACCAAAUCUUAAUGAAAUUUAAUCAAUAUGUUUGUGACGAUCUUUAGGUCAACUUCAACUCUUGGUCAUGUGGGGUCAAAAACUAGGUCAGUAGGCCAGAUAAACUCUUUUGAGCGAUAUAUAGGGCCAUGGCCCUCUUGUUUUUGCUACAUAUCUGGAAAUUAAUGCUAUGUUUCUGAAAAAUGCUUUGAAACUUAAUUCUGACAGACUAUCAUGAAAACAUGUGAGAAAUAGUUGUUUUUACUAAUUUUACGAUGAAAAUCGAAAAGCGUUUGUUACGCUUUGCUCGAGGUAAAGAAAAGUAUUUUUGGAGGUCAGUGCCUUCAAUUUUAUAAAAGACAAUUCAACACACAUUUCUGUCGGGAUCUAACUUUAUGUGAUGGACCUUUUUAUCUCGGACAAAGUAUAUGAUACGCGAAAAAGGUGCUGCAAUGUUGCUUAAAUGAGCAUGCAUAUCUUUAACAGUCUGCAAAUAAAAGAUAGAUUUUAAGAAGUUAUUCAUUUAUAUCAUACUGUAUAAUAAUAGAUUUAUGCUAUGUCAUUUUCAAAGAGAAUUUAUAUGUGUUUCCUUUUAUUUGUUAACUAUCUGUUUGUGUUGGCAUAAUAAACAAUUAUGAAUAUAAAAAUAUAAAGAUGA